UAGAGUUUGAUCCUGGCUCAGGACGAACGCUGGCGGCGUGCCUAAUACAUGCAAGUCGAGCGGGUUUGUCCCUUCGGGGACAAGCUAGCGGCGGACGGGUGAGUAACACGUAGGUAACCUGCCCAUGGGACUGGGAUAACGUCGGGAAACCGAUGCUAAUACCGGAUAGGUGAUUCUCUUGCAUAAGGGAAUCUGGAAAGACGGCGCAAGCUGUCACCGAUGGAUGGGCCUGCGGCGCAUUAGCUAGUUGGUGAGGUAACGGCUCACCAAGGCGACGAUGCGUAGCCGACCUGAGAGGGUGAUCGGCCACACUGGGACUGAGACACGGCCCAGACUCCUACGGGAGGCAGCAGUAGGGAAUCUUCGGCAAUGGGCGAAAGCCUGACCGAGCAACGCCGCGUGAGUGAUGAAGGCUUUCGGGUCGUAAAACUCUGUUGCCAGAGAAGAACGUCCGGUAGAGUAACUGCUAUCGGAGUGACGGUAUCUGAGAAGAAAGCCCCGGCUAACUACGUGCCAGCAGCCGCGGUAAUA
rnacentral:rRNA from 1 species